CAGUCGCCGCGAGAAUACGGAGGGUGCAAGCGUUAAUCGGAAUUACUGGGCGUAAAGCGUGCGUAGGCGGUUCGUUAAGUCUGUUGUGAAAGCCCCGGGCUCAACCUGGGAAUGGCAAUGGAUACUGGCGAGCUAGAGUGUGUCAGAGGAUGGUGGAAUUCCCGGUGUAGCGGUGAAAUGCGUAGAGAUCGGGAGGAACAUCAGUGGCGAAGGCGGCCAUCUGGGACAACACUGACGCUGAGGCACGAAAGCGUGGGGAGCAAACAGGAUUAGAUACCCCAGUAGUCCCUGUCUCUUAUAC
rnacentral:rRNA from 1 species